CGGGUGGGGGGUGGAAGGGAUCAGUGAACAUCAAACAACCCCAUGAACCAUAGAGUCAUAGCAGCAAGAAAUUGAAAUAUCCAACGAGGAAGUCCAUUCUUUUUUCAUAAUCAAAGUCGAAUUUCUGACCUUCCGAUAUUCAAAAACACAAGGCCCAAACCGAUUACUAAAGAAAUGGGAAAGACUUAAUAGAAAUUUGUUGAACCCAUGAAGCAAAAACAAUUGUUGUAAGCGCCAAAAGAACAAGAGGAAACCGCGGGAGAAUGAUGGAGAAAUGAAGAGGAGGGAAUACCUUGGAUUCAUUGAGGUUAACUUCAUUAC
rnacentral:misc_RNA from 1 species